ACAGACUUUUGAGAACAUCUGAGAGAACUCUGAGACAUACAGGUUUCCUCACGAUUCCUUCAAUGUUAA